UCGAGAAUCUUCGGCAAUGGGCGCAAGCCUGACCGAGCGACGCCGCGUGCGGGAUGAAGGCCUUCGGGUUGUAAACCGCUGUCAGAGGGGAGGAAAUGCAUGUGGGUACUCUCACAUGUUUGACCUAUCCUCAGAGGAAGUACGGGCUAAGUUCGUGCCAGCAGCCGCGGUAAGACGAACCGUACGAACGUUAUUCGGAAUCACUGGGCUUAAAGGGUGCGUAGGCGGCGCAGAAAGUAGGGUGUGAAAUCCCUCGGCUCAACCGAGGAACUGCGCUCUAAACUACUGUGCUCGAGGGAGAUAGAGGUGAGCGGAACUUAGGGUGGAGCGGUGAAAUGCGUUGAUAUCCUAAGGAACACCGGUGGCGAAAGCGGCUCACUGGAUCUCUUCUGACGCUGAGGCACGAAAGCUAGGGUAGCAAACGG
rnacentral:rRNA from 1 species